AAAAUAAAUCGCAGGCAAAAUGUUUGACUUUGUUUUUAAUACACUGCAUGUUUUGCUAACAGUUUCUUUUCUUUCUUUCACUGAUCUUUACUUACAAAAGCAUUUCCAGAGUUUUCAUUUAUGCUUCUGAAGUUUUCGUUUACGAUCCCAGAGUUUUCGUUCGUCUUUCUGGCACAAAUCUCUCGCGGGGGCGGGGCCAGCAGUGGUGUGUUCUCAUUGGCUACUGAGUUUUUGAUUGACAGCUUCUUCUUGACCUGGAAGUGAAGACGUCAGUGUUGCGUUUACAAUUACAUGUGUGGAGGUGAGCGUCUGUAAGCGGCUUCUUAUUUCAUUUUAGUGAUGUAAAGAUAGGCGUUUUUAUUAUUUUAUCUGUAGCUGCUGCUACUAUGGUGAGAUGAUUUCUUAGGCCUAGCACAGACGAAUGAUAUAAUCAUCAUUAUCAUCAAUCAUCGUCGUUAUCUGGAUACUCGCGGGAGUGGAGCAACUUUUCCAUUAACAAAAUUCUGAUGCUGACCCAGAGGAGGGAGUGGUAGCCCCAGAGAUCCACUGUCCCCAUCAGACAAGAAUCUUAUUUUGUUCAGACACAUCACCUUUGACUGACUGGGAUCUUGAUCUUCAGACACCUGAUAUUAUGCAAAUAUUUUAAUUUUUUGGAGCUCUAGAUUAAAACAAGACACAGUUCACAAACACACAGGAGGUUGUACUUUAUUCUUAUUAGUCCAUACUGAUCUUGGAUUAGCAUACCAACAACAUAUGAAUGUUAAAGUGAUAGUUCACCCC